CCUGGGGUUUGGGUUGCAAUUCCCCCAUUUGGGGGUUGCAAUUCCCUGGUUUGGGGGUUGCAAUCCCCUGGGGUUUGGGUUGCAAUUCCCAGGUUUUGGGUUGCAAUUCCCAGGUUUGGGGGUUGCGAUCCCUUGGGGUUUGGGUUGCAAUUCCCAGGUUUUGGGUUGCAAUUCCCAGGUUUGGGGGUUGCAAUUCCCCAGUUUCUGGGUUGCAAUUCCCAGGUUUUGGGUUGCAAUUCCCUGGGUUUGGGGGUUGCAAUUCCCCAGUUUCCGGGUUGCAAUUCCCCCAUUCGGGGGUUGCGAUUCCCUGUUUUUUUGGGUUGCAACCCCCCGGUUUUGGGUGCAAUCCCCCCGUCACCCCCGUCACCCCCGUGUCCGUCCGUCCCCCCAGUGCGGCUUCUUCAAGCGGGACUACAGGGAGCGGCUGGACCAGGACGCGGCCGGCGCCGGGACGGGGGACGACGGGGACAACGGGGACGACGAUAACGGGGACGAUGAUAACGGGGGCGAUAACGGGGACAAUGAUGGGGACACUGGGGACGCCCCCGCGGGGGACACGGACGGGGACCUCGGCCGUGGGGGGCAGGAGCCGCUGCAGGGGGGCGAAGGAGCCCCGUGAGCCGGCGACCGCCCGGCCUUCAUCCUCCAUCUCCAUCCUCCUCCAUCCCCAUCCUCCAUCUCUCCAUCUCCAUCUCCCCAGCCUUCAUCCUCCAUCUCCAUCCUCUAUCUCCAUCAUCUCCAUCCUCCAUCCCUCCUUCUUCCAUCCUCUUUCUCCAUCCAUCCAUCCUCCAUCUCCAUCCUCCUUCCAUCCCUCCAUCCCUCUCCAUCUCUCCGUCCUCCAUCUCUCCAUCCUUCUUCCAUUCCUCCAUCUCCAUCUCUCCAUCCUCCAUCUCUCUGUCCUCCAUCUCCAUCUCUCCAUCUCUCCAUCCUCCAUCUCUCCAUCCUCCAUGUCCAUCCUCCAUCU
rnacentral:lncRNA from 1 species